rnacentral:rRNA from 1 species
GGCUCAGAUUGAACGCUGGCGGCAGGCCUAACACAUGCAAGUCGAACGGUAACAGGAAGAAGCUUGCUUCUUUGCUGACGAGUGGCGGACGGGUGAGUAAUGUCUGGGAAACUGCCUGAUGGAGGGGGAUAACUACUGGAAACGGUAGCUAAUACCGCAUAACGUCGCAAGACCAAAGAGGGGGGACCUUCGGGCCUCUUGCCAUCGGAUGUGCCCAGAUGGGAUUAGCUAGUAGGUGGGGUAACGGCUCACCUAGGCGACGAUCCCUAGCUGGUCUGAGAGGACGACCAGCCACACUGGGACUGAGACACGGCCCAGACUCCUACGGGAGGCAGCAGUGGGGAAUUUUGGACAAUGGGGGCAACCCUGAUCCAGCCAUGCCGCGUGCAGGAUGAAGGCCUUCGGGUUGUAAACUGCUUUUGUCAGGGACGAAAAGGAUCGUGAUAAUACCAUGGUCUGCUGACGGUACCUGAAGAAUAAGCACCGGCUAACUACGUG